rnacentral:rRNA from 1 species
AGUGAACGCUGGCGGUAGGCCUAACACAUGCAAGUCGAACGGCAGCACAGUAAGAGCUUGCUCUUACGGGUGGCGAGUGGCGGACGGGUGAGGAAUACAUCGGAAUCUACUUUUUCGUGGGGGAUAACGUAGGGAAACUUACGCUAAUACCGCAUACGACCUACGGGUGAAAGCAGGGGAUCUUCGGACCUUGCGCGAUUGAAUGAGCCGAUGUCGGAUUAGCUAGUUGGCGGGGUAAAGGCCCACCAAGGCGACGAUCCGUAGCUGGUCUGAGAGGAUGAUCAGCCACACUGGAACUGAGACACGGUCCAGACUCCUAAGGGAGGCAGCAGUGGGGAAUAUUGGACAAUGGGCGCAAGCCUGAUCCAGCCAUACCGCGUAGGUGAAGAAGGCCUUCGGGUUGUAAAGCCCUUUUGUUGGGAAAGAAAAGCAGCAGGUUAAUACCCCGCUGUUCUGACGGUACCCAAAGAAUAAGCACCGGCUAACUUCGUG